rnacentral:sRNA from 1 species
CCAAGGCUCGCUUCGGCGGGUCG